rnacentral:lncRNA from 1 species
GGCGUUGUAAAAAAACGGCGGGUGAGUCGGGGUGACGGUGACUCUUCCUCAGCUACUAAAUCUGGCAAACUUGAGAGCCCGCUCGUCGUUUAGGCCUGAUGGGGCCCGCAGUUUCGACGGCGACGACGACCGUCAUCUGAGAUCUUGGCGUCGCAAACUCCUCUCCUCCCUCACCGCCGUCAAACUCAAGCUUACCUGGACCUCCGCCUUCAGAUUCGCCCUCCUCCUCUUCCUCCUCGCCGCCAUUGCCACCGCC